CCUACGGGUGGCAGCAGUGAGGAAUAUUGGUCAAUGGGCGUAAGCCUGAACCAGCCAAGUCGCGUGAGGGAUGAAGGUUCUAUGGAUCGUAAACCUCUUUUAUAAGGGAAUAAAGUGUGGGACGUGUCCUAUUUUGUAUGUACCUUAUGAAUAAGGAUCGGCUAACUCCGUGCCAGCAGCCGCGGUAAUACGGAGGAUCCGAGCGUUGUCCGGAUUUAUUGGGUUUAAGGGGUGCGUAGGCGGUCUUUUAAGUCAGCGGUGAAAGUCUGUGGCUAAACCAUAGAAUGGCCGUUGAAACUGGGGGGCGUGAGUAUGUUUGAGGCAGGUGGAAUGCGUGGGGUAGCGGUGAAAUGCUUAGAUAUAACGCAGAACCCCGAUGGCGAAGGCAGCCGGCCAAGCCAUGACUGACGCUGAUGCACGAAAGCGUGGGGAUCAAACAGGAUUAGAUACCCUUGUAGUC
rnacentral:rRNA from 1 species